rnacentral:rRNA from 1 species
GAUUCGUCACACUAUCAUUAACUGAAUCCAUAGGUUAAUGAGGCGAACCGGGGGAACUGAAACAUCUAAGUACCCCGAGGAAAAGAAAUCAACCGAGAUUCCCCCAGUAGCGGCGAGCGAACGGGGAGGAGCCCAGAGCCUGAAUCAGCAUGUGUGUUAGUGGAAGCGUCUGGAAAGGCGCGCGAUACAGGGUGACAGCCCCGUACACAAAAGCGCAUGUGCUGUGAGCUCGAUGAGUAGGGCGGGACACGUGGUAUCCUGUCUGAAUAUGGGGGGACCAUCCUCCAAGGCUAAAUACUCCUGACUGACCGAUAGUGAACCAGUACCGUGAGGGAAAGGCGAAAAGAACCCCGGCGAGGGGAGUGAAAAAGAACCUGAAACCGUGUACGUACAAGCAGUGGGAGCACCCUUCGGGGUGUGACUGCGUACCUUUUGUAUAAUGGGUCAGCGACUUAUAUUCUGUAGCAAGGUUAACCGUAUAGGGGAGCCGGAGGGAAACCGAGUCUUAAUUGGGCGUUAAGUUGCAGGGUAUAGACCCGAAACCCGGUGAUCUAGCCAUGGGCAGGUUGAAGGUUGGGUAACACUAACUGGAGGACCGAACCGACUAAUGUUGAAAAAUUAGCGGAUGACCUGUGGCUGGGGGUGAAAGGCCAAUCAAACCGGGAGAUAGCUGGUUCUCCCCGAAAGCUAUUUAGGUAGCGCCUCGUGAAUUCAUCUCCGGGGGUAGAGCACUGUUUCGGCUAGGGGGCCAUCCCGGCUUACCAACCCGAUGCAAACUGCGAAUACCGGAGAAUGUUAUCACGGGAGACACACGGCGGGUGCUAACGUCCGUCGUGAAGAGGGAAACAACCCAGACCGCCAGCUAAGGUCCCAAAGUCAUGGUUAAGUGGGAAACGAUGUGGGAAGGCCCAGACAGCCAGGAUGUUGGCUUAGAAGCAGCCAUCAUUUAAAGAAAGCGUAAUAGCUCACUGGUCGAGUCGGCCUGCGCGGAAGAUGUAACGGGGCUAAACCAUGCACCGAAGCUGCGGCAGCGAACGUAUCACCCAAGACAACUUUACGGAGUUGACGAUUGACGGAGCGAAGCGACGUCAAAGCGUUCAUUAAAGUCGAGUUGGCUUAGGGAUACGUUCGUUGGGUAGGGGAGCGUUCUGUAAGCCUGUGAAGGUGUGUCGUGAGGCAUGCUGGAGGUAUCAGAAGUGCGAAUGCUGACAUAAGUAACGAUAAAGCGGGUGAAAAGCCCGCUCGCCGGAAGACCAAGGGUUCCUGUCCAACGUUAAUCGGGGCAGGGUGAGUCGACCCCUAAGGCGAGGCCGAAAGGCGUAGUCGAUGGGAAACGGGUUAAUAUUCCCGUACUUGGUGUUACUGCGAAGGGGGGACGGAGAAGGCUAUGUUGGCCGGGCGACGGUUGUCCCGGUUUAAGCGUGUAGGUGUGUGUUCCAGGUAAAUCCGGUUCACUUUAACACUGAGGCGUGACGACGAGGCACUACGGUGCUGAAGCAACAAAUGCCCUGCUUCCAGGAAAAGCCUCUAAGCAUCAGGUAACACGAAAUCGUACCCCAAACCGACACAGGUGGUCAGGUAGAGAAUACCAAGGCGCUUGAGAGAACUCGGGUGAAGGAACUAGGCAAAAUGGUGCCGUAACUUCGGGAGAAGGCACGCUGACACGUAGGUGAAGUGAUUUACUCAUGGAGCUGAAGUCAGUCGAAGAUACCAGCUGGCUGCAACUGUUUAUUAAAAACACAGCACUGUGCAAACACGAAAGUGGACGUAUACGGUGUGACGCCUGCCCGGUGCCGGAAGGUUAAUUGAUGGGGUCAGCGCAAGCGAAGCUCCUGAUCGAAGCCCCGGUAAACGGCGGCCGUAACUAUAACGGUCCUAAGGUAGCGAAAUUCCUUGUCGGGUAAGUUCCGACCUGCACGAAUGGCGUAAUGAUGGCCAGGCUGUCUCCACCCGAGACUCAGUGAAAUUGAACUCGCUGUGAAGAUGCAGUGUACCCGCGGCAAGACGGAAAGACCCCGUGAACCUUUACUAUAGCUUGACACUGAACAUUGAGCCUUGAUGUGUAGGAUAGGUGGGAGGCUUUGAAGUGUGGACGCCAGUCUGCAUGGAGCCGACCUUGAAAUACCACCCUUUAAUGUUUGAUGUUCUAACGUGGACCCGUAAUCCGGGUUGCGGACAGUGUCUGGUGGGUAGUUUGACUGGGGCGGUCUCCUCCUAAAGAGUAACGGAGGAGCACGAAGGUUGGCUAAUCCUGGUCGGACAUCAGGAGGUUAGUGCAAUGGCAUAAGCCAGCUUGACUGCGAGCGUGACGGCGCGAGCAGGUGCGAAAGCAGGUCAUAGUGAUCCGGUGGUUCUGAAUGGAAGGGCCAUCGCUCAACGGAUAAAAGGUACUCCGGGGAUAACAGGCUGAUACCGCCCAAGAGUUCAUAUCGACGGCGGUGUUUGGCACCUCGAUGUCGGCUCAUCACAUCCUGGGGCUGAAGUAGGUCCCAAGGGUAUGGCUGUUCGCCAUUUAAAGUGGUACGCGAGCUGGGUUUAGAACGUCGUGAGACAGUUCGGUCCCUAUCUGCCGUGGGCGCUGGAGAACUGAGGGGGGCUGCUCCUAGUACGAGAGGACCGGAGUGGACGCAUCACUGGUGUUCGGGUUGUCAUGCCAAUGGCACUGCCCGGUAGCUAAAUGCGGAAGAGAUAAGUGCUGAAAGCAUCUAAGCACGAAACUUGCCCCGAGAUGAGUUCUCCCUGAGACUUAGAGUCUCCUGAAGGAACGUUGAAGACGACGACGUUGAUAGGCCGGGUGUGUAAGCGCAGCGAUGCGUUGAGCUAACCGGUACUAAUGAACCGUGAGGCUUAACCUUACA